rfam:Capsicum annuum cultivar Zunla-1 chromosome 4, whole genome shotgun sequence
AAAAAGGGUCGGUUGGCUAAAUAUGCCACUCUCGCCCUCAGCGGUGAGUGCUGUAUGGCUAUCAAGACAUAUGGCCGACAUAAUUUGUGGAACCCACAAAAGGGUUGGCUCCUCAUUGGCCGACCCUCCA